rnacentral:rRNA from 1 species
GAAAUCUGGUCUCCUCCGGGGGCCCGAGUUGUAAUUUGCAGAGGGCGCUUUGGCGUCGGCAGCGGUCUAAGUUCCUUGGAACAGGACGUCACAGAGGGUGAGAAUCCCGUACGUGGUCGCCUGCCUUCGCCGUGUAAAGCCCCUUCGACGAGUCGAGUUGUUUGGGAAUGCAGCUCUAAAUGGGAGGUAAAUUUCUUCUAAAGCUAAAUACUGGCCAGAGACCGAUAGCGCACAAGUAGAGUGAUCGAAAGAUGAAAAGCACUUUGGAAAGAGAGUCAAACAGCACGUGAAAUUGUUGAAAGGGAAGCGCUUGCCGCCAGACGUGCCCGUGGUGGUUCUCCUCCGCGGGCAGGCCAGCAUCAGUUUGGGCGAUCGGAUAAGGGACUCUGUCAUGUAUCUUCCUUCGGGAUGACCUUAUAGGGGAGUCGUAGUACGAUCAGUCCGGACUGAGGUCCGCGCAUCUGCUAGGAUGCUGGCGUAAUGGCUGUAAGCGGCCCGUCUUGAAACACGGACCAAGGAGUCUAACAUCUAUGCGAGUGUUUGGGUGUCAAGCCCGAGCGCGCAAUGAAAGUGAACGGAGGUGGGAACCCUCUCUGGGGGUGCACCAUCGACCGAUCCUGAAGUCUUCGGAUGGAUUUGAGUAAGAGCAUAGCUGUUGGGACCCGAAAGAUGGUGAACUAUGCUUGAAUAGGGUGAAGCCAGAGGAAACUCUGGUGGAGGCUCGCAGCGGUUCUGACGUGCAAAUCGAUCGUCAAAUUUGGGCAUAGGGGCGAAAGACUAAUCGAACUAUCUAGUAGCUGGUUCCUGCCGAAGUUUCCCUCAGGAUAGCAGUAACGUAUUCAGUUUUAUGAGGUAAAGCGAAUGAUUAAAGGCCUGGGGGUUGAAACAACCUUCACCUAUUCUCAAACUUUAAAUAUGUAAGAAGUCCUUGUUACUUGAUUGAACGUGGACAUUUGAAUGUACCGUUACUAGUGGGCCAUUUUUGGUAAGCAGAACUGGCGAUGCGGGAUGAACCGAACGCGGGGUUAAGGUGCCGGAAUGUACGCUCAUCAGACACCACAAAAGGUGUUAGUUCAUCUAGACAGCAGGACGGUGGCCAUGGAAGUCGGAAUCCGCUAAGGAGUGUGUAACAACUCACCUGCCGAAUGAACUAGCCCUGAAAAUGGAUGGCGCUUAAGCGUGCUACCCAUACCCCGCCGCUGGGGCAGACG